rnacentral:misc_RNA from 1 species
UUCCUCAUCAUCCUCAUCAGAUUCAUCAUCUUCAGAUUCAUCCUCAGUUUUGUUUUCUUUGCUUGGCUCUACGGGUUUAGCCUUUUGUUUUGCAGAAGAAUCAGGCUUGGCAACAACAGGCUUUCCUUUGGCAAGUUUAGCAUUCUCAAUCAGUGGCUGAACACUUCCAUUGUCUGCAUUCAUCAAUGGAAAGGGCCCUUCAUCUUCUGAAUCCUCAUCAGAAAAA